UUGAGGACGCGGUGCUUGCGG
rnacentral:misc_RNA from 1 species